GACGAACGUUGGCGGCGUGCUUAAUACAUGCAAGUCAACUGAAGCAGUGGUAGCAAUAUCGCUGUGGAGGUGGCGCACGGGGGAGUAACACGUAGGUAAUCUGCCUUCAGGUCUGGCAUAACUCCGGGAAACCGGGGCUAAUAGCAGAUGAUGCAGCGGCUCGACAUCGAGACAGUUGUUAAAGCUAUGGCGCCUGAAGAUGAGCCGGCGUCUGACUAGCUAGUUGGCGGGGUAACGGCGCACCAAGGCAACGACCAGUAGCUGGUCUGAGAGGAUGAUCAGCCACACUGGAACUGAGACACGGUCCAGACUCCUACGGGAGGCAGCUGUGAGGAAUAGUGCUCAAUGGGAGAGAUCCUGAAGCCGCCACGCCGCGUGAGGGACGAGGGGCUUUUGCUUGUAAACCUCUGUAGUGAGAGAAAAACAUCCCAAUCUUUGGGACAUGAUGGUAGCUCAAAAGUAAGCCCCGGCUAACUACGUG
rnacentral:rRNA from 1 species